rnacentral:rRNA from 1 species
UAGGGAAUCUUCCACAAUGGACGGAAAGUCUGAUGGAGCAACGCCGCGUGAGUGAAGAAGGGUUUCGGCUCGUAAAACUCUGUUGUUAAAGAAGAACAUAUCUGAGAGUAACUGUUCAGGUAUUGACGGUAUUUAACCAGAAAGCCACGGCUAACUACGUGUCAG